GACGAACGCUGGCGGCGUGCCUAAUACAUGCAAGUAGAACGCAGUUGCGAACGGGUGUGUAACGUGUAGGUAAAUGGCUCAUAGCGGGGGGAUACUAUCGGAAACGAUAGCUAAUAACGCCUACUGUGAGACGGACCUGCGUUGUAUUUGCUAGUUGGUGAGGUAAAGGCUCACCAAGGCCACGAUACAUAGCCGACCUGGGACGGAGAUCGACCCCACUGGGACUGAGACAGGCCCAGACUCCUACGGGAGGCCGCCGUAGGGAAUCUUCGGCAAUGGAGGGAAGUCUGACCGAGCAACGCCGCGUGAGUGAAGAAAGUUCUCGGAUUGUAAAGCUCUGUUGUUCGGGAAGCGGUACCUAACCAGAAAGGGACGGCUAACUACGUGCCAGCAGCCGCGGUAAUAC
rnacentral:rRNA from 1 species